ACCUCUCCAUAAUCCCUUUUGGCCUCGUCUCCCUUUCCUCGCCAUGACGGAAGUCCCACCAGCUGCUCCCGGCGCUCAAGCAACCGCGGCGGCGUCCCCGGCGGGCGAGCGCGAUGAGCAGGCAAGCACCUCGCGGGCUACAGGUUCGACGAGCCGCGGAGGAGCCGGAGGUGGAGGGCCCGGGCGGAGCGCGGCGGGAGACGAGCAGGCGCGGCUGGUCGUGCCGAUGCCGGCGCCGGCGAUGGGUCCGACCCCAGCGGGUGUGAGCGCAGCGUAUGUGCCUGCGCCCGUACCUGUGCAGUGCAGGCGCGGCCUUGGUCGGGGUCGAGGUCGUCCGUCCCGUGGGCGAGGCUUGUGGUUGGAUUGCUGCUCCUGGUGCUGCUGGGCUACGCGUUCAUCAAAUGGGGCCUCCCCUUUCUCUCCGAGAAGGUGAUGUUUCUUGUCUGAUCUCCUAAUAAGAGUGUGGGCCCUAUUUAUUGACGCAGGAAUUGCUCUCAGUCGGUUCUGAUUUGCAGAGAAUUUGUUCCAUCUUCUCUCUCAAAUCUCAAUACGAAGGGAUUGUGCCUAAUCCCCAAAAUCCAAA